rnacentral:misc_RNA from 1 species
UAGCAUUUCAUAUAUAUUAUGUAUUUUCCAUUAUAAAUAUGCAUUUUUAUGUACUACUUCCGUUCACUUUUAUCUAUCGUUUAAGGUUUUUGCACGGUGAUUAAGAAAGCAAUUAAAUCAGCAAAAUUAUAACUGUUCAUGAUUUUGGGAGCAUGCGGACAGAAGUAAUCAAAAUCCUAUAAUGCCUGUGUCCAUAGUUAAUUACACAUAUUUUUAGAAGAUGAAAUGGCCAUUAUUGAAAAAUGAAAGAAAACUACAGGCUUAGACUGGUGGUCACUUGCGCAAGGUCCUGAUGCCCCUUACCCUCCUUUGUAAGCCAGAAAAAAAAAAAAAA